rnacentral:rRNA from 1 species
UACCAGCUCUCCGAGUGGUAGGGAUGAUUAUUGGGCUUAAAGCGUCCGUAGCCGGCUUAGCAAGUUUCCUGUUAAACCCAGCGACUCAAUCGUUGGAUCGCGGGAAAUACUACUAGGCUAGGAGGCGGGAGAGGUCAACGGUACUUCUGGGGUAGGGGUGAAAUCCUAUAAUCCCGGGAGGACCACCAGUGGCGAAGGCUGUUGACUAGAACGCGCUCGACGGUGAGGGACGAAAGCUGGGGUAGCAAACCGGAUUAGAUACCCGGGUAGUCCCAGCUGUAAACGAUGCGAGCUAGGUGUUGGGAUGGCUACGGGCCAUUUCAGUGCCGCAGGGAAGCCAUUAAGCUCGCCGCCUGGGGAGUACGGCCGCAAGGCUGAAACUUAAAGGAAUUGGCGGGGGAGCACCACAAGGCGUGAAGCUUGCGGUUC